UAUAAAGUAAGGUACCUAACAUAAGCAAGGACCACACAUUUGAAAAUAAAAUAACAAUUUAUUCUGUUUUAUAGUUGCAUUAAUAUGUCAGCCAAAUUUUUACCACAAAUCUGCAUAAUCAAACCUAUCUACAGAAUCCUGGACAUUGUUGUUGUCAUGCUUUGAUCAAACAAUAUCCUUUAUUAUUGCACCGUGUAGUUUUAAAAUUGCUUUUCAACUUUGUUUCACACAUACAGACAGAUAAAAUUGGAUCAGGUAUCCAGAUUCUCAUUGUUAUUACUCACCUAUGGCCACCAAAACACAUCACUGCUUUCAUCUUAUGUGCCUUAGAGAGAAAAUUCUACCCUUUGAUCAAUUGUAGAAAGAUAUGAGGAUGGUAUUUCAUUCUGCAUUGAUUUUCCUCGACGUUGCUGUAUGUGGCUCCUCUAGUUGUUAAUUCACCCAGGAAUCAACCUAAGUCAUUACCUGCACAUCGUUUUUUCCACUGCAAUCAUCCGUGUUAAACUAAUGUGUCUCCUGUAGCAGAACCGGGCCAUCAGGCUUUACCUGAACUCCCCAGCUACAGCACUAUACAUGUCCUCAUGUGACUUUAGUGCUAUAAGACAUCACGGCCUACAAAAGCCAUGGCACUCAUCUAACUACACGUCUGUCGGUUUUGUGUUUUAUCCUCCUCACAUCCCUAAUUUCCAUUUCUGCCAUGUCAAAUAUUUACUCAGGUCUGUUGUAAUCACAGUCCUGCUGGUGUGGACGCUGACCCACAAAAAUCCCACCAUGUUUAAAAGCUUUACUCUGAAGUAUUUAUCUCUGCUGAGGGAAUUGGGAUACACUUCAAUAUCAUCCUGCAUAUUUUUAAGGUCUGUUGGGUAAGCAAAAACAUUUUCAGCAUUUUCUUAUAGUGAUAUGUUUUGGUCUCGUCAUAUCAUAGAUAAAUGUAUAUGUAAGAACUAUGUACUACUUCCCCUGUAUAUAUGCUUAAUAUGAAACAUUCAGAAUCAACAAGUGCAAAUACCUAGUUUCAUGUGUAAAUACUGACCAGAACGGUGCUUACUGUAGCUUUUCCCACACCCACACUUCAAAGUGGACCUCAAACUGUGCAGUCUUCUGAGUAACAUCCAGGAUCCUGACAGUAGCCCAUCUCAAAGCUACAACCAAACCACAAGUGCAUUACCACCCAGGAUGUUUCUUUUUUUCCUACAGGUCUAACCCACGGUGUGUCUGGGUCUGGGAUUUUCUGUUUGUUUUUGCCUGCUAUUUAAACUACCUUACCACUAGAUGCCGCCUGAGCUCUGGAGGUGAGAGGGAGAUAGGUGUUCGCAAUCUUCUUCAAACUGGAGGAGUAUAAGAGAGCAGUCGGCCAGCACUUCUACGCCUGGGUGUUUGCCUAAUGGGGCUCCACUGCAGAUCUGUUCUGGUUCAACUGAUUUCUCGUUUGAACUGCUUCCCAAGCUUCAAGAUUUCAAGGAAUGUUUUAGAUUCCAUUCCAGCUAGCUGCUCCUGGCUCUCCUACCUCCUGGCUUCAAGCUCAAGCGAUCCCUGUCCACAACUCCAACCUCAGUAAGUGAGCUGCCUUCAGAGAAACUUCACUGCUGCACACUGAGUGAAGGAUCAAGAGGAAAAUAAAUUCAGGCACCUCUGUGGUCAUCUUCCGUCCCAGCUCCGACCCCCUCCAUGCAAGAUCAUCAACAUCACUCAGUAAGCCUGAAGAUACCUUCUUAAGAAAGUCUGUUUUUGUUCUCCAUCAACUCACCCAACCUUCUCUCCAUACAGUCGGUGUAUCCAGUUCCCAGUCCACAUUCACCUUCUGUAAAUAAAUUCAUUAACUUUU